UACGUAGGGGGCUAGCGUUGUCCGGAAUCAUUGGGCGUAAAGAGCGUGUAGGCGGUCCGGUAAGUCCGCUGUGAAAGUCGGGGGCUCAACCCUCGAAUGCCGGUGGAUACUGUCGGGCUAGAGUGCGGAAGAGGCGAGUGGAAUUCCUGGUGUAGCGGUGAAAUGCGUAGAUAUCCGAAGGAACACCGGUGGCGAAAGCGGCGCGCUGGACCUCUUCUGACGCUGAGGCGCGAAAGCCAGGGGAGCAAACGGG
rnacentral:rRNA from 1 species